GACGAACGCUGGCGGCGUGCCUAAUACAUGCAAGUUGAGCGCUGAAGGUUGGUACUUGUACCCACUGGAUGAGCAGCGAACGGGUGAGUAACGCGUGGGGCAUCUGCCUUUGAGCGGGGGACAACAUUUGGAAACGAAUGCUAAUACCGCAUAAAAACUUUAAACACAAGUUUUAAGUUUUAAAGAUGCAAUUGCAUCACUCAAAGAUGAUCCCGCGUUGUAUUAGCUAGUUGGUGAGGUAAAGGCUCACCAAGGCGAUGAUACAUAGGCGACCUGAGAGGGAGAACGGCCACAAUGGGAAUGAGACACGGCCCAAACUCCUACGGGAGGCAGCAGGAGGGAAUCUUCGGAAAUGGACGAAAGUCUGACCGAGCAACGCCGCGGGAGUGAAGAAGGUUGUCGGAUCGUAAAACUCUGUUGGUAGAGAAGAACGUUGGUGAGAGUGGAAAGCUCAUCAAGUGACGGUAACUACCCAGAAAGGGACGGCUAACUACGUG
rnacentral:rRNA from 1 species